GCGCCCGUAGCUCAGCUGGAUAGAGUGUUUGGCUACGAACCAAAAGGUCGGGGGUUCGAAUCCCUUCGGGCGUGCCA
rnacentral:tRNA from 1 species